rnacentral:rRNA from 1 species
CCUACGGGAGGCUGCAGUGAGGAAUAUUGGUCAAUGGACGAGAGUCUGAACCAGCCAAGUAGCGUGAAGGAUGACUGCCCUAUGGGUUGUAAACUUCUUUUAUAUGGGAAUAAAAUGUUCCACGUGUGGGAUUUUGUAUGUACCAUACGAAUAAGGAUCGGCUAACUCCGUGCCAGCAGCCGCGGUAAUACGGAGGAUCCGAGCGUUAUCCGGAUUCAUUGGGUUUAAAGGGAGCGUAGGUGGAUUGUUAAGUCAGUUGUGAAAGGUUGCGGCUCAACCGUAAAAUUGCAGUUGAAACUGGCAGUCUUGAGUACAGUAGAGGUGAGCGGAAUUCGUGGUGUAGCAGUGAAAUGCUUAGAUAUCGCGAAGAACUCCGAUUGCGAAGGCAGCUCACUGGACUGCAACUGACACUGAGGCUCGAAGGUGUGGGUAUCAAACGGGAUUAGAUACCCGUGUAGUC